UACAAAGGGGGCAAGCGUUGUUCGGAAUUACUGGGCGUAAAGGGCGCGUAGGCGGCUGUUCAAGUCGGGGGUGAAAUCCCGUGGCUCAACCACGGAAUGGCCUUCGAUACUGGACGGCUCGAGACCGGAAGAGGUGAGUGGAACUGCGAGUGUAGAGGUGAAAUUCGUAGAUAUUCGCAAGAACACCAGUGGCGAAGGCGGCUCACUGGUCCGGUUCUGACGCUGAGGCGCGAAAGCGUGGGGAGCAAACAGG
rnacentral:rRNA from 1 species